rnacentral:sRNA from 1 species
CUAGCCAUACAGGACCCAGACACUCUUUGUCCAGCUCUGUUUUCCCAGUGUCUCCUGGGGAGUGAUUCAGGGCCAAGGUGACAGUGGGUUUGGAGCCCAGAUGAAAGGAUCGCAGGGACCACAAGACAAGAUCCCUUGUGUGGUGGCCGGCUGGAAAGAGGAGGGAGUGAGUGUGUGUGGAGAAACUGCCAGAGGCAUGCAGCAUUGGUGAUGGAAAGCCCUUUGUCAUGAAUCUGCAGAAUCUGUAUAUGGCAGUCACCAAACAAGAGGUCCAAGUGGGACAGAAGCAUCAAGGCACUGGUGAGCACUCCAGAGGAGAUCCUCAUACCUCAAACAGUGCUUCCCUGCAAGGAAUCGAUAGCCAAUGUGUAAACCAGCCAGAACAACUGGUCUCCUCAGCCCCAACCCUCUCAGCACCUGAGAAAGAGUCCACGGGUACUUCAGGCCCUCUGCAGAGACCUCAGCUGUCAAAGGUCAAGAGGAAGAAGCCAAGGGGUCUCUUCAGUUAAUCUGUUGUGGCCUCAGCUGCUGAGGAUGGACUUGGAGAAUAGCUUCCAAGCUUCACCUUGAAA